GACGAACGCUGGCGGCGUGCUUAACACAUGCAAGUCGAACGGAAAGGCCCUGCUUUUGUGGGGUGCUCGAGUGGCGAACGGGUGAGUAACACGUGAGUAACCUGCCCUUGACUCUGGGAUAACUUCAGGAAACUGGGGCUAAUACCGGAUAGGAGCUCCUGCUGCAUGGGGGGGGUUGGAAAGUUUCGGCGGUUGGGGAUGGACUCGCGGCUUAUCAGCUUGUUGGUGGGGUAGUGGCUUACCAAGGCUUUGACGGGUAGCCGGCCUGAGAGGGUGACCGGCCACAUUGGGACUGAGAUACGGCCCAGACUCCUACGGGAGGCAGCAGUGGGGAAUAUUGCACAAUGGGCGAAAGCCUGAUGCAGCAACGCCGCGUGCGGGAUGACGGCCUUCGGGUUGUAAACCGCUUUCGCCUGUGACGAAGCGUGAGUGACGGUAAUGGGUAAAGAAGCACCGGCUAACUACGUG
rnacentral:rRNA from 1 species